rnacentral:rRNA from 1 species
GCGGCAGACGGGUGAGUAACGCGUGGGAAUCUACCUUUUGCUACGGAAUAACGCAGGGAAACUUGUGCUAAUACCGUAUGUGUCCUUCGGGAGAAAGAUUUAUCGGCAAGAGAUGAGCCCGCGUUGGAUUAGCUAGUUGGUGGGGUAAAGGCCUACCAAGGCGACGAUCCAUAGCUGGUCUGAGAGGAUGAUCAGCCACAUUGGGACUGAGACACGGCCCAAACUCACUACGGGAGGCAGCAGUGGGGAAUAUUGGACAAUGGGCGCAAGCCUGAUCCAGCCAUGCCGCGUGAGUGAUGAAGGCCCUAGGGUUGUAAAGCUCUUUCACCGGAGAAGAUAAUGACGGUAUCCGGAGAAGAAGCCCCGGCUAACUUCGUGCCAGCAGCCGCGGUAAUACGAAGGGGGCUAGCGUUGUUCGGAAUUACUGGGCGUAAAGCGCACGUAGGCGGAUCGAUCAGUCAGGGGUGAAAUCCCAGGGCUCAACCCUGGAACUGCCUUUGAUACUGUCGAUCUGGAGUAUGGAAGAGGUGAGUGGAAUUCCGAGUGUAGAGGUGAAAUUCGUAGAUAUUCGGAGGAACACCAGUGGCGAAGGCGGCUCACUGGUCCAUUACUGACGCUGAGGUGCGAAAGCGUGGGGAGCAAACAGGAUUAGAUACCCUG